rnacentral:rRNA from 1 species
AGCAGCCGCGGUAAUUCCAGCUCCAAUAGCGUAUAUUAAAGUUGUUGAGGUUAAAAAGCUCGUAGUUGAACCUUGGGCCUAGCCGGCCGGUCCGCCUCACCGCGUGCACUGGCUCGGCUGGGUCUUUCCUUCUGGAGAACCGCAUGCCCUUCACUGGGUGUGCCGGGGAACCAGGACUUUUACUCUGAACAAAUUAGAUCGCUUAAAGAAGGCCUAUGCUCGAAUACAUUAGCAUGGAAUAAUAGAAUAGGACGUGUGGUUCUAUUUUGUUGGUUUCUAGGACCGCCGUAAUGAUUAAUAGGGAUAGUCGGGGGUGUCAGUAUUCAGCUGUCAGAGGUGAAAUUCUUGGAUUUGCUGAAGACUAACUACUGCGAAAGCAUUCGCCAAGGAUGUUUUCAUUAAUCAGGGAACGAAAGUUAGGGGAUCGAAGACGAUCAGAUACCGUCGUAGUCUUAACCAUAAACUAUGCCGACUAGGGAUCGGACAAUGUUAACUUUUCUUGACUCG